UACGUAGGGUGCAAGCGUUAAUCGGAAUUACUGGGCGUAAAGGGCCAGUAGGCGGCCAACUAAGUCGGAUGUGAAAUCCCCAGGCUCAACUUGGGAACUGCAUCCGAUACUGGAUGGCUUGAAUUCGGGAGAGGGAUGCAGAAUUCCAGGUGUAGCGGUGAAAUGCGUAGAUAUCUGGAGGAAUACCGGUGGCGAAGGCGGCAUCCUGGACCGACAUUGACGCUGAACGGCGAAAGCUAGGGGAGCAAACGGG
rnacentral:rRNA from 1 species